AUACGUAGGGUGCAAGCGUUAAUCGGAAUUACUGGGCGUAAAGCGUGCGCAGGCGGUUUUGUAAGACAGAGGUGAAAUCCCCGGGCUCAACCUGGGAACUGCCUUUGUGACUGCCAGGCUAGAGUACGGCAGAGGGGGAUGGAAUUCCGCGUGUAGCAGUGAAAUGCGUAGAUAUGCGGAGGAACACCGAUAGCGAAGGCAAUCCCCUGGGCCUGUACUGACGCUCAUGCACGAAAGCGUGGGGAGCAAACAGGAUUAGAUACCCUGGUAGUCCACGCCCUAAACGAUGUCAACUGGUUGUUGGGUCUUCAUUGACUCAGUAACGAAGCUAACGCGUGAAGGUGACCGCCUGGGGAGUACGGCCGCAAGUUUGAAACUCAAAUGAACUGCCGGGC
rnacentral:rRNA from 1 species